AACCCCUGGCAAUGGGCAAAGAGACAGACACCUUGUGGUGGUGUUGUUCUUAUAUCAGCCAGGGGCAGAGCAGAUGGCAGUCCUUUGUUCAUCUUAGCUUCAUGCCUGACUUUUUGGCCAAAGCUGUUUCAUGCCUAGGGCACAUAA
ensembl:snoRNA